AUUGAACGCUGGCGGCAGGCCUAACACAUGCAAGUCGAACGAGCGGCGGACGGGUGAGUAAUGUGUGGGAAACUUCCUGCAGGGGGGGGAUAACUACUGGAAACGGUAGCUAAUACCGCAUACCAUCAGAUUGUGCCAGGUGGGUUUAGCUAGUAGGUGGGGUAAUGGCUCACCUAGGCGACGAUCCCUAGCUGGUCUGCGAGGAUGACCAGCAACACGGGAACUGAGCCACGGUCCAGACUCCUACGGGAGGCAGCAGUGGGGAAUAUUGCACAAUGGGCGCAAGCCUGAUGCAGCCAUGCCGCGUGUAUGAAGAAGGCCUUCGGGUUGUAAAGUACUUUCAGCGAGGAGGCGUUACUCGCAGAAGAAGCACCGGCUAACUCCGUGCCAGCAGCCGCGGUAAUAC
rnacentral:rRNA from 1 species